UAAGACAAAGACCAACUAGGACCAAUUUAUGAAGUGUUUUGAUAAAAACUACACUAACUCUUGAAUAUUUGUUUGUCAAGAAAUGUUUAUUGACAAGAGAAUCUUAUAUGUCAAGAAGUCAGUGGGAGUCUUAAUGGUCUUGAAAGGUUUUAAGAACAAAUCAAAAUAAACCUUAUCGAUUAUCACUAGCACACAAGCUGAGGUUUACAACCUAUAGUGUUANUCAAUUUGCUUUUAUUUCCAAGAGAAUGGGCAUUGGAGACGAAGCUGGCCUCUUUACCAAAGAGAUCUAAGAGAUGCGAGAGUCAAAACGAAUGGCUCUACUUUAGGUAAAAUCCAUUGACUAACUCUUUUAAGCUCCUAUUCUAGAUUCUUAAUACAUAAUGUGAUAAGAUUACAAUUGAUGUUUUGUAGGAUCAAAGAAAGGAGAGGAAGCUUAAGGGAAGAAGUGAGCAGAAUCUAACCGUGAAGGAAUGGAUUUCGAUCGCAUUUCUCGAAGAUUAGAUUCUUGAGCUACUACUUAGAGUUAGAAUUAGAUUGCUAAGAAAGAUGUAUUAGCAUAGUUUUUCAAUGAAUUGCAUUGUAAGGACAAAUUUUUCCGCAAUAAAAUAAAUUUUGAUUUUAAAUUUUAUUUAUUUAUCCUUACAAUGGCGUGUAUGAAAAAUUGAUGUUAAAAUGUUUCUAUUAUUAGCAAUAAUGGAUUUGGUUCUUAUUAUGUUAUUUAUGGAAAGUCGAGAAUUUACCAAAUAGGGAGAGUUUCUCAUCGCCCAAGUUUCAAUUGGACAGAAACUUGGAAUCAUGCAACUUGGUUGCACGAUGAAUGAGAAAUUUCAUAUUUGGAAAUUAGACUAAUUCAUUGACAAAGUGUCAAGUGAAGGACUAGGAGAUCGAGUACACAAAGUUGCGUGUUGAUCAAGUCCACCAUAAGAGUAACAAAGAUAUUCGUCAUGAUUUACUAAAGGUUUAGUAAAUAUGAUUAUACUUAUAAGAUUAAGUGUAAUUCUGAAUUGAUUGAAAAGGUUUAAAUCAAUAGCAGAACGAAUAAGAAGAAUCAAGUAGGCAGAAAGAUAAAAGUUUCUCCAUUCUAAGAAGAAGGGAGAGUACCUUUUAUGCUUUAUGAUAGGUCUUAAUGAUUAAGAACCAUAUCUCAAUUGAUCCUCUAAGUGAGUCUUAGUACAAUUGUAUGUCUAAGAAGAGGAAUCAAGAAUUGAAGAAAUGGUUAAAUCAAGAAGUCAAUCAUACUUCGUUCCAAAACAAGUCUUAGAGUUAAGAUUGUGACAUUGAGUGACAAGUAUUAAGAAGGUUUAUAACAUUCAUCAAAUGUGGAAAGUUGUGAUGUCUUGGAUAAGACAAAGACCAACUAGGACCAAUUUAUGAAGUGUUUUGAUAAAAACUACACUAACUCUUGAAUAUUUGUUUGUCAAGAAAUGUUUAUUGACAAGAGAAUCUUAUAUGUCAAGGAGUCAGUGGGAGUCUUAAUGGUCUUGAAAGGUUUCAAGAACAAAUCAAAAUAAACCUUAUCGAUCAUCACUAGCACACGAGUUGAGGUUUACAACCUAUCGUGUUGACACUAUUUUGUUUCUGUGCCAUUCCAAUUGAGUUAAUUAUGCAUGUGAGUCCUAUGAGUUCUCAUUUGAAUGCAUAAAAGGCAAGGACCUUGAUCAAUGAAAAGUACAUUGAUAGGAAAAGGUGAGCUGCUUAACUACUUGG
rnacentral:lncRNA from 1 species